rnacentral:rRNA from 1 species
AACGAACGCUGGCGGCAGGCCUAACACAUGCAAGUCGAACGGAUGUAGCAAUACAUUAGUGGCGCACGGGAGAGUAACGCGUGGGAACCUACCUUUUGGUACGGAAUAACGUCGGGAAACUGACGCUAAUACCGGAUAAGCCCUUCGGGGGAAAGAUUUAUCGCCGAUAGAUGGGCCCGCGUUAGAUUAGCUAGUUGGUGAGGUAAUGGCUCACCAAGGCUUCGAUCUAUAACUGGUUUGAGAGGAUGACCAGUCUCACUGGGACUGAGACACGGCCCAGACUCCUACGGGAGGCAGCAGUGGGGAAUAUUGGACAAUGGGGGAAACCCUGAUCCAGCCAUGCCGCGUGAAUGAUGAAGGCCUUCGGGUUGUAAAGUUCUUUUGGUGGGGACGAUAAUGACGGUACCCACAGAAUAAGCUCCGGCUAACUUCGUG